rnacentral:rRNA from 1 species
UGGGGAAUCUUGGGCAAUGGGCGCAAGCCUGACCCAGCCAUGCCGCGUGUGCGAAGAAGGCUCUAGGGUUGUAAAGCACUUUCAGUGGUGAAGAAAAGCCCGGGGUUAAUACCCCCGGGUCUUGACGUUAGCCACAGAAGAAGCACCGGCUAACUCCGUGCCAGCAGCCGCGGUAAUACGGAGGGUGCGAACGUUAAUCGGAAUUACUGGGCGUAAAGCGCGCGUAGGCGGUUCGGCAAGUGGGAUGUGAAAGCCCCGGGCUCAACCUGGGAACUGCAUUCCAAACUACCGAACUGGAGUAUGGUAGAGGGAGGUAGAAUUUCCUGUGUAGCGGUGGAAUGCGUAGAUAUAGGAAGGAAUACCGAUGGCGAAGGCAGCCUCCUGGACCAAUACUGACGCUGAGGCGCGAAAGCGUGGGUAGCAAACAGGAUUAGAUACCCCCGUAGUCC